rnacentral:rRNA from 1 species
UACGGAAGAUGCGAGCGUUAUCCGGAUUUAUUGGGUUUAAAGGGAGCGUAGGCGGGCUUUUAAGUCAGCGGUCAAAUGUCACGGCUCAACCGUGGCCAGCCGUUGAAACUGUAAGCCUUGAGUCUGCACAGGGCACAUGGAAUUCGUGGUGUAGCGGUGAAAUGCUUAGAUAUCACGAAGAACUCCGAUCGCGAAGGCAUUGUGCCGGGGCAGCACUGACGCUGAGGCUCGAAAGUGCGGGUAUCAAACAGG